GCGAACGCUGGCGGCAGGCUUAACACAUGCAAGUCGAACGCCCCGCAAGGGGAGUGGCAGACGGGUGAGUAACGCGUGGGAAUCUACCGUACCCUACGGAAUAACGCAUGGAAACGUGUGCUAAUACCGUAUACGCCCUUUGGGGGAAAGAUUUAUCGGGGUAUGAUGAGCCCGCGUUGGAUUAGCUAGUUGGUGGGGUAAAGGCCUACCAAGGCGACGAUCCAUAGCUGGUCUGAGAGGAUGAUCAGCCACAUUGGGACUGAGACACGGCCCAAACUCCUACGGGAGGCAGCAGUGGGGAAUAUUGGACAAUGGGCGCAAGCCUGAUCCAGCCAUGCCGCGUGAGUGAUGAAGGCCCUAGGGUUGUAAAGCUCUUUCACCGGUGAAGAUAAUGACGGUAACCGGAGAAGAAGCCCCGGCUAACUUCGU
rnacentral:rRNA from 1 species